AACUUGUAAUCUGACUUCAAGAAGAAUAUUUGUCUUGUAAUAAUGUAUACAUUAAAAGAGCUUAAAAUAAAAAACUAGUAUUGAAUGGAUAAUUGAUAGACUACAUUAACUCUGGGACAGAGGUAGGGAGGGUGAAGCUAUAGAUGACUUUAGAAAUUGAAAGGAGGGAAGUUGAACACUGAUUUUUCCUGCAGUAGAAAGUUAAGUCAUCUGUUGAUUGAGGAACCAUGGUAGGAAACUUGGGAAGAGCAAUGACUUGAGGUUUGGAAUAGCACCUGCACCAUGGAAAAGGAAGCCAACCAGGCAAGAGUGAAAGGAUCGCCAAGUAGUGCUAAAGGUCAAGUUUUGGUUGUGGCCACAAAAUUCCUGAGGGAGGAAACAUGAAGACCUUCUGGUCCUUUCUGACCUAGAGCCAGUUCAACCUUGAAGACAUUAUAAGAUUUCCAAACUGCCUCCUCUGAGUCAUAUUUUGUGUCACACCUUCACCUUUUGCUUGAGAUGUCCUGAGAAAAUUUUAUGAAGGCUACCUGCAUUUGUAAAGAAAAUCACCCAAGACAUCAUUCCAUCACCACCUCUCCCAGUCACCAGCACUUCCCACAGUAUCUGUCUAUAAGAAAUGGUGGACAAUCCUAAGAACAAAGGAAGUUGCAUAUGUCACCGGAAGGGUAACUGACAAUGUGCUCAAUUUAUUCGUUAAUACGGAGUCAAAAUGGACUAUUUUACCAAUGUAAUGUAAACAUUAAUACAUGUUGACUCUUUCAUGAUC